UACGAGGGGGGCGAGCGUUGUUCGGAAUUAUUGGGCGUAAAGGGUGCGUAGGCGGUUUGGUAAGUCUUAUGUGAAAUCUACAGGCUCAACUUGUAGUCUGCAUGAGAAACUGCCGGGCUUGAGUAUGGGAGAGGUGAGUGGAAUUCCUGGUGUAGCGGUGAAAUGCGUAGAUAUCAGGAGGAACACCAAUGGCGAAGGCAGCUCGCUGGGACGGUACUGACGCUAAGGCGCGAAAGCGUGGGGAGCGAACAGG
rnacentral:rRNA from 1 species